rnacentral:rRNA from 1 species
CCUACGGGAGGCAGCAGUAGGGAAUAUUGCUCAAUGGGGGAAACCCUGAAGCAGCAACGCCGCGUGGAGGAUGAAGGUUUUCGGAUUGUAAACUCCUUUUGUUAGAGAAGAUAAUGACGGUAUCUAACGAAUAAGCACCGGCUAACUCCGUGCCAGCAGCCGCGGUAAUACGGAGGGUGCAAGCGUUACUCGGAAUCACUGGGCGUAAAGAGCGCGUAGGCGGGAUAGCAAGUCAGAUGUGAAAUCCUAUGGCUUAACCAUAGAACUGCAUUUGAUACUGUUAUUCUAGAGUAUGGGAGAGGUAGGUGGAAUUCAUGGUGUAGGGGUGAAAUGCGUAGAGAUCAGGAGGAAUACUCAUUGCGAAGGCGACCUGCUAGAACAUAACUGACGCUGAUGCGCGAAAGCGUGGGGAGCAAACAGGAUUAGAUACCCCUGUAGUC